rnacentral:lncRNA from 1 species
GGACCCUGAAACCAGUUCCUCUCAACAUGUUGCUGUUUGUCUACAUGUCUCUGUAAGCUCCGCCUGUAUUCUGUUAUUGUUCUUAAAUAUUUUGCAUUAUUAGCAUUUCUUUAAUAACUAACCUUUGCUACCUGACCGUGUGUUCCAUCAGCGUGUGUGUCCUGGUCUUGUCCUCCUGUUACCUGGCGUUUAAGAUCGUGUCAUUGGAGCAGAGACUGACGGCGCUCGGCUCCGAGUUCACCUCAAACGACUUCCUGAGUGGCAGUCCUAAUGUGGACACAGAAUUCUUCUCUGAACUGCUGACCAUGAACCUGAUGAAGCUAGAGAAGGUGCAGAAGAACCUGCAGAAACUUUUGGAGGAAGCUACCUGAAUGUGAAGAUGAACGUUUACUGUAAAUAUGUUACAGCAGCUGUUACAGACUGUCAUAACUUCCACAUAAUCUGCCCUACAAAGCCAAAAAUACUGCACGAAAACCUGUAAUCCAGGCCGCAGUAGCCCCAAAAAGAGGCAAGCCUUUCUAUUAGGACCUGCGAACAUGAUAAAAAAGGAGCACAGAGGCAGAGCUGCAGCUGAUCCGACUGCAGACAUGCUUAGCAUUAAAUAAAGCUAACAACGAGCUGUUUGUUCA